CUUAGCAGAGGUAGCAUCAACACGACAGACUUAGCGGAGGUAGCAUCAACACGACAGACUUAGCGGAGGUAGCAUCAACACGACAGACUUAGCAGAGGUAGCAUCAACACGACAGACUUAGCAGAGGUAGCAUCAACAUGACAGACUUAGCGGAGGUAGCAUCAACACGACAGACUUAGCAGAGGUAGCAUCAACACGACAGACUUAGCAGAGGUAGCAUCAACACGACAGACUUAGCAGAGGUAGCAUCAACACGACAGACUUAGCAGAGGUAGCAUCAACACGACAGACUUAGCGGAGGUAGCAUCAACACGACAGACUUAGCAGAGGUAGCAUCAACACGACAGACUUAGCAGAGGUAGCAUCAACAUGACAGACUUAGCGGAGGUAGCAUCAACACGACAGACUUAGCGGAG
ensembl:lncRNA